AACAUCACGGUUGGAACUUGUGCAGUGGGAUUUUUGACUACUAGUAGGGUGACCAUCAGCUUUCCUUGUGUUUCAUCUUGUCACUGGUUUUGGCGGCUCUCAGGUGAGGUAUCAAGGUACCAAUAUAUCUACAGUUGCUUGCCAAAUCCAUUGGACCUAAAAUAACUCACUUGACAUAUCCUGUACCAGCGCCGUUAUUAGCAGCGCGCAGGAGGGAGGACAUGUUGUUUUACUUGGACUGUGGGGGCUAAGGAUCGCUGGUACCCUUUUCCGACCUACCUUCCGAAGCAUUUCGAUCACUAGGAGGCAGAGCAUACAAGCCUCCUGGCAUGAUAUGGCAUGAUCUUUAGUCUCGCCAAUGAGUGCUCCGUGCCAGCUUGAAUUUGUAGUGAUUUUCCUGGCAGCUUCCAAAAUCCAACACUUCGCGUUGUGAGAAAAUUGUCAGCUCAUCCAGAGAAUAAAUAGAGAUAUAUUCGUUCUGGUGAAAAGGACUUGGCCCCCGAAACCCCAUCCCUCUGCUGCUCCCUGCGGCAGCUUGUGAUGUUGGUUUAGCCAUUUCAGCGGAGCAUGGUUAGCAGAAUGCUGGGCUGUCAGACGUUCUUGUAUCCUCCAAGCAAAAAUGGAGCAUUUUGUGGUUAAUCAACUUUUCUCAAAUUUCAAGCACCGCUAUAAAUAAUAUGUGCUUGCAGUUGUUAUGGAUAGCUUACAGACGUUAAUCCAAGGUCACCUUGACACGUUUGAGGUAAGUAAUUCUACUGACUUAUUUGCGCUCUUCUCACGGUAAAUAAGUUGAUCCAAGCACCUCAUUGAAGUCACUUUUAGUGCCGUUUCCAUUUGCAUGCUCGUCCCGAAGUGACUGCUAAACCCGCACGCAGGCAGAGCUCAAUAUCAAACGUUUAUUACGUACUCACACCCUACAUCUGGAGUUUCCCUUGCUAUCACAGCAAUACACUAUUCGGUUGCUUCUCCCAAAAGGAGAAUUUGUGCUACAGAUUCUCUAAAUUCGUCCGCAACGGUAAUGAUCUCGGAAUCUUCCAAUGCCGAAGCCCAAUACGUGAAUGUUGCUUCGACCGUGUUUUUCCCAACGCAUAUAUUGAUAAUAAUGUCGUACUAUCUCCAGCGUCAGUAAACUGGCUUCUUGUGUCUGACAUGACGUUCAUGACCUACCUCUGUCGCCUCAUAUGUUUCUACCUCUUUGAAGCAAAUUUCGCUCUCGUCUUCAUUUGACAAGGGCUGUUCUACCGAUAUGCAGGUAUUGAAUAGCGGUUUGCCGAAAUACUUGGAAAGUUGCAAAACAUCUAUCAGGGAGCAAUUCCCAUUUCGAAGCCUGGUUCCGUGCUCCGCCUGAUUUCUCACCAAAACGUCGCGGCAGCUGCCUUGCGCUGUGAAACGUAAUCGGCAAACAAGUACAUUGAAAAAAGAGCCAACGAUAUUGUGGAUAUCGGGAAUAGGAACAUCCCUCCCCGAAACAACUGUCCCAAAACAUACGUCGUCCAACCCUGUGUAUUUCCGCAGUACCAUAGCCCAGGCAGUCUGAAAAACAUUGCUCAUGGUGACCCCAUUUUCAAGGCAAAAGCGACCUAGCAAAGCUUUGUCAGUAGCUGCUCUUUUCAUGGUGCGAAGUUCUCUCUUAAAUUCGACACUUUGGUGUCGGGGAAAUAUGCACGGUUGCAAUUCGACCAUUUGGGUUUUCCAGUAGUCUAUCUGGCCUCUGAACCUCACGGCAUCGCAGAAGUACGCAGUGGCCUGACUGUACAAUGGACCUGCAGAGAAAGAGAGCCGUCCUUCGUAUAAUUGUGACAACUCCCGUAAAAUUAUUAGGAGGGAAGCUGCGUCUAGAAAGGCAUCGCUACCCUCGAGCUUACAAUAAAGCCUACCAGUAUCGGUUUGGCACAGGGUGAAUUGAUAUGGAGGAGCACUGCUCACCUCAUUACUCAGGGAAGACUUGCGCAAUAUGUCCAUAAUUUCGUUAUCAGUACAUGACAGAACGUGGAGGGCUGGGUGGCGCCUUACAAUGUCUGUCCAGGCUUUUACUAAGCGCAUUGGCCAUAUGGAACACUGGGGAACUUUUGAAGUCACUUCCCAUAUGGUAUAUGACCGGUACUUAUAUGUAUUCAACGACUGAGUGAUGAGAAGCCCCUCAUGUACAGGGUUGCAAGGGUACGCAUCCUCUACUUCGUCGUAAGAAAUACCCAAGUUCUCUUUGAGCCUUAAUUCGAGUUCCUCUUCCUCAGGAGCUGCCAAGGAUAACAAGGGGAACCGGACCAUCGGCUGUCCACCUUCACUGGGUGUUGAUGGUGGUGUUAGAAUCGUAGAAGGCUUUGCUUUCGAGGCUAUGAGUUUGACAGUUUUAGCGUCGAAAACAUCCAAGGCGGUCAGCAAUAAACUAUCUUCUCUGCACAGAGUGACCACCUGUAUUGCCGAGAUGGAGUCACCGCCUAGGUUGAAGAAGUCAUCGUUGAUCCCAACGGCAUCUGUGUCUAUGCCGAUGACUCGUGCAAUAAUUUUUCGAACUCUUUCCUCACGGUCUGAUGCUGCGCCCUGAGAUUGAUUGGGGCACGACGCCGUGAGUUGUUGGAGAGAACUUAGGUCUUUUUUGGAAACUGCGAGUUGCAGGAGAUCUCUGUCGAGCUGGGAGGCAGCGGUCCAUGGUAAAUAAUUGAUUGGAAGACAUAAAAUUGGCAACAUACUCCUAGGAAUAGCUUUGUUCAUAUAUUCUAUCAACCCACGGAGUUUAAGCUUGAAGGUAUUUUCCGGGACGGCAAACAGCUCUGCCUCUAUGCUUUGAUGCCCUGUAUUCUCACAGACAAAUACAGCAAGCCUCCCUGUACACAGAUCUUUUGGACAAACCAUGUCAACGACUACUUGGUACGGUUCGCCUAGAUAUUUUUGGGCUUGGUACUCAACGUCACGCAAGAGACCCGAUUCAUUCAUCCGGGCGUCGGGGUUUGGUGGCAUAUCAGGAAUUAUGCAGCCAAUUCUUUGUCCCGGAUUAUCUGUAAUAUCGUGAAGGACGUGCUCAAAGCGUUCCAACAUUAUCUGCGCAGCGUCGUGGUCCAAAAUACAACCAUCAAAAAUUGCAGUGACAAACAACGCCUGUUCUCCAGAAAGUUCGCACACCAUUGUUAGUGGAUGGGUGCUCAAUUUCAGCUGUUCAGCAGAAUUGUUUGGAGAUUCAAUGAAUAACUCGGA
rnacentral:sRNA from 1 species